UUCAUAGAAGCUUGAUUUAAGCAGCUUUAUCAACUAUGCAGUGACAUCCUGGCUGUACAGAAGUCAAAGCUGGUGAGCUGUAGAGGAGCCAUGAUUUCAACCACAGUGUCCACAGAACUACAGACAAAUCACAGGAAGGAUUACUUAGGCAAACUCAUUGAAAUGCAAUCACUUCCUGUGGCUCUGACACCUAUUUCAGUGGAAUUGCCAAGAUAACCUGAAGAAGAUUGAGGCAGAAACCUGUGGUUGGUACCUGCUUCCCCUUUAACCCUGAACUGACAGUGACAAGUGAUGUCCACCUAGAGUCCCCUGACAUGUCUUUUCAUGGCAUCCAAAUAAAGCAUUAACAGGGACAUGUGCCCCCAGGCAUGGACUGGGGUGGCAUAUUCCAGUGUCAAAGCAGAG